UACGUAGGUGGCGAGCGUUGUCCGGAUUUACUGGGCGUAAAGAGCGCGCAGGCGGUCGUUCAAGUCGCGUGUGAAGCCCCGGCUCAACUGGGAGGGUCACGCGAUACUGAUCGACUCGAAGGCAGGAGAGGGAAGUGGAAUUCCCGGUGUAGUGGUGAAAUGCGUAGAUAUCGGGAGGAACACCAGUGGCGAAGGCGACUUCCUGGCCUGUUCUUGACGCUGAGGCGCGAAAGCUAGGGGAGCAAACGGG
rnacentral:rRNA from 1 species